AGUCCUCAAUAAUAGCAUCUCCACCACGACUUCUACAUAAAUUAGUCACGGAGCUCCACAAAUUGAGCUCCCAGCGGGGACCUGUCGAUCGUGUAUCAGCAAUUAUGGUGGGUAAGGGAUCUCUAGAAGAUCAAAACAUGGAUUUUUAGUAAGAAUAAGGUACCCACUAACUCGAUCAUUAUCUCCUUUGAAUGUUGAUCUAUCUUCCAUUGUAGGAUUCACAUUCAAACUCCGGUGAUGCAUUCUCGAUGUCUACAAUGGCAAGUUUAUACCUCAUCUCUCAAAUCAACUCUAGGAAAUUCAAGAACUCAGAUCAUGAGGACUGAAUCGACCAGUAGAAAAGUUGAAGAAGAACUCAUAUCUUCUUGUAGAAAUCAGUGUACAGUUUUUUUUCUAAGUGGCUCUCAUGCACUCUUGACUGUCAACUGAACAAGUUUUAUUCCACCAGGGCCUAUCAAAAAUAUCAUCAUAUUUUAGAUACUCCAUAUUUUGUUUGACAUGUUGCACUAGAUAAGCUGGUAUGUGCAUUUGUAUCUCAUCAUAACCCCACCCUAUUAUCAUUUAGGAAGAUCUUAAUAUCAAUCAUGUUAUGGCAACUUUGUUGUUUUGUAGGUUGUCCAAAAUAAGGACCCAAUCUUGUCUAGUUAUGAUACCAAAUAGAAGGCGUACAACCUUUUUGUUCCCACCAUAUUUUUUGUUCAACAAUAUCCCUGUUCAUCAACAUGCUUUUCAAUAGUUGUGAUCCAUUUUUCCAUUGUACUAAA